rnacentral:rRNA from 1 species
AUUGAACGCUAGCGGCAGGCCUAACACAUGCAAGUCGAGCGGAGUGGCGAACGGGUGAGUAAUGCCUCGGAAUGUGCCUGGUAGUGGGGGAUAACGUCCGGAAAGGGGCGCUAAUACCGCAUACUAUCAGAUGAGCCGAGGUCGUAUUAGCUAGUUGGUGGGGGAAAGGCCUACCAAGGCGACGAUCCGUAACUGGUCUGAGAGGAUGACCAGUCACACGGGAACUGAGACACGGUCCAGACUCCUACGGGAGGCAGCAGUGGGGAAUAUUGGACAAUGGGCGCAAGCCUGAUGCAGCCAUGCCGCGUGUGUGAAGAAGGUCUUCGGGUUGUAAAGCACUUUCAGCUGGGAGGCGUUACCCGCAGAAGAAGCACCGGCUAACUUCGUGCCAGCCGCCGCGGUAAUAC